rnacentral:rRNA from 1 species
AGUGAACGCUGGCGGCGUGCUUAACACAUGCAAGUCGAACGAGAACGGAUUAUAGCUUGCUAUAAUUGUCAGCUAAGUGGCGCACGGGUGAGUAAUGUAUAGGUAAUAUGCCUCUUACUAAAGGAUAACAAAUGGAAACGUUUGCUAAUACCUUAUACUCCUUAUUAACAUAAGUUAAUAAGGGAAAGAUUUAUUGGUAAGAGAUUAGCCUGUAUUGUAUCAGUUAGUUGGUGGGGUAAUGGCUUACCAAGACUAUGACACAUAACUGGUUUGAGAGGGUGAUCAGUAACACUGGAACUGAGACACGGUCCAGACUCCUACGGGAGGCAGCAGUGGGGAAUAUUGCACAAUGGACGAAAGUCUGAUGCAGCAACGCCGCGUGGAGGAUGACACAUUUCGGUGCGUAAACUCCUUUUAUAUGAGAAGAUAAUGACGGUAUUAUAUGAAUAAGCACCGGCUAACUCCGUGCCAGCCGCCGCCGUAA